rnacentral:sRNA from 1 species
UGUCUUUAUAAAGUCACACCUUUACAGACUGUAAUCACGUGCGAGUGGAGUGGGGUUCACAGGAUGGUGGGAGUGGGGCCGGGCGUGGGCUCAUAGGAUGGUGUGAGUGGGGCCGCGAGUGGGGCUCACAGGAUGGUGGGAGUGGGGGACAAUGACAACGGCCAGGCGACCGCGAGUGAGAGCGAGGGCCAAGUGAU